GCCCACGUAGUGCAAUGGUUAGCAUGACCUUACUUGUUAGCUCUGCAGUAAAAUGCAUUUGGAGGUAGAUUGGGGGUCAAUUCCCCACGAGGGCG